GACGAACCGAGCGAACGUUGUUCGGAAUCACUGGGCUUAAAGGGCGCGUAGGCGGUGCGGUAAGUCACCUGUGAAAUCUCCUGGCUCAACUGGGAGCUUGCAGGCGAAACUGCCGUGCUGGAGUGUGGGAGAGGUGCGUGGAAUUCCUGGUGUAGCGGUGAAAUGCGUAGAUAUCAGGAGGAACACCGGUGGCGAAGGCGGGUCUCUGGGCCAUUACUGACGCUGAGGAGCGAAAGCGUGGGGAGCGAACAGG
rnacentral:rRNA from 1 species